CCUACGGGAGGCAGCAGUGAGGAAUAUUGGUCAAUGGACGAGAGUCUGAACCAGCCAAGUAGCGUGAAGGAUGACUGCCCUAUGGGUUGUAAACUUCUUUUAUAUGGGAAUAAAACGUUCCACGUGUGGGAUUUUGUAUGUACCAUAUGACUAAGGAUCGGCUAACUCCGUGCCAGCAGCCGCGGUAAUACGGAGGAUCCGAGCGUUAUCAGGAUUUAUUGGGUUUAAAGGGAGCGUAGGUGGAUUGUUAAGUCAGUUGUGAAAGUUUGCGGCUCAACCGUAAAAUUGCAGUUGAAACUGGCAGUCUUGAGUACAGUAGAGGUGGGCGGAAUUCGUGGUGUAGCGGUGAAAUGCUUAGAUAUCACGAAGAAAUCCGAUUGCGAAGGCAGUUCACUGGACUGCAACUGACACUGAGGCUCGAAAGUGUGGGUAUCAAACAGGAUUAGAUACCCCAGUAGUC
rnacentral:rRNA from 1 species